rnacentral:rRNA from 1 species
CGACUCUCGGCAACGGAUAUCUCGGCUCUCGCAUCGAUGAAGAACGUAGCGAACUGCGAUACUUGGUGUGAAUUGCAGAAUCCCGUGAACCAUCGAGUCUUUGAACGCAAGUUGCGCCCGAANCCAUUUGGAKGAGGGCACGUUUGCCUGGGUGUCACAC